UGAAGCUUGCUGUAUUCAGUGUGCAAGUCUCUUCGGCAACCCAACCAACCCACAUGCUCUCUCUCUCUAGACUCUCUCGCUCUCUGCAAACUGAAUAUUCUGUUUCAUAUAUAAAUACAGGCACCCACUCUCUCUAUCUUUUAAGUACAUAUAAAUACAGGCACCCACUCUCUCUCUCUCUGUAGGUGAUUGUGAAGAAGAGGCACUAGGGAGAGAGAGUGUGAAACCCAGCCGCACCUCUCUAUUCUCUAUGCUGAGAGAGAGACAGAGAGAGAACAAGAUGGAAUGAAAAGAUUCCAUCUUUCCCAGCUUGAUUCGGUUCAUUUCAUGCAACAUUAAGCUCCCAACUCCAUUCUAAAUUUUUAAUAACAAACCCUCCCCAGUCUUUCUGAACAAAACAAACACCAACGACACGAAUAAUAACAACAACAAAAAAAAGGAGCAAGAAAACGAAUUCCAAUCCCCUGUGUGAUAUCUGCAAUUAGGGUUCUUUUUUUAUUUCCCGUGGGCAUGAGGUUGAACGGUGAAAUCGAAGAAGAUGAGGAAGAGGAGAAGGUGGCCAAGAGCUUGAAUUCGCAGACGUAUUCGACCGGCAUCGGGUUCCCUCAGUUACAGUCGCAAAACCUCGUCGUCGGAUACGCAUUGACAUCUAAAAAGAAGAAGAGCUUCUUGCAGCCAAAGCUUAUCCGCCUCGCUUGGAAUAAGGGGAUAUUCUUUGUAGCCAUUGAUUUAAAGAGGCCUCUGUCAGAUCAAGGUCCUUUUGAUGUUGUUUUGCAUAAGUUGUCAGGAAAGGAUUGGUGCAACAUAAUUGAGGAUUACAGGCAAAAACAUCCUGAAGUGACAGUCCUUGAUCCUCCAGAUGCCAUAGAACAUCUGCACAAUCGUCAGUCCAUGCUUCAGGAUGUGGCAGAUUUAAACUUGUCUGACUGCCAUGGCAAGGUUGGUGUUCCAAGGCAGCUGGUCAUUUCAAAAGAUCCAUCGUCUAUUCCUCAUGAAGUUAAUAAAGCUGGGUUACAGUUGCCACUGGUUGUAAAGCCUUUGGUCGUGGAUGGAAGUGCCAAGUCACACGAACUGUUUCUUGCUUAUGAUCAAUUCUCCCUUGCUGAACUUGAACCUCCUCUGGUUCUUCAGGAGUUUGUUAACCAUGGUGGCAUUCUCUUCAAAGUUUAUAUUGUUGGGGAAAUCAUAAAGGUUGUAAGGCGUUUCUCUCUACCUAAUUUCAGUAAGCAUGAGCUAGAAAAAGUUGCUGGUGUGUUCCGUUUCCCAAGGGUUUCAUCCGCUUCAGCUUCUGCAGAUGAUGCAGAUCUGGAACCUAGUGUUGCUGAACAUCCUCCACUACUUCUGCUGGAGAAGCUUGCAAGGGAGCUCCGUCGCCGAUUGGGUCUUCGGUUGUUCAAUAUAGAUAUAAUUCGAGAGCAUGGGACCAGAGAUGUAUUUUAUGUCAUUGACAUCAACUACUUUCCUGGGUACGGGAAAAUGCCGGACUACGAGCACAUAUUUACAGAUUUCCUUCUGAGCUUUGUGCAGAGCAAGCAUAAGAAGAGACCUACUGCUUAACGACUGGAAGCAAAAUGUUAUGAUGCUUCUUGCCAGGGGUUUGCCUCAUUGUGAAAUUGAAGAACAGUCAAAUCUCGUAUUUACUGACUGGCCAAAAUGAGCGAAUUAUGUGGCGUUCGUGUGUCCACAUAAACUUCCAUUUGAGACAAAAGUUGGGGCAGUCACUGAUUCUUUUCUCGUAAUGGAUUGAAUUCUACCUGCCUGCCUUCCCCAACAGAAUUUCUUGACAUAGUGAAUCCAGUAAUCAAUGAACGAGCGAAGCUUUUCAAUAUAACUAGACUUUUGCAUUUUUUUUUUUAGCUGUUUUUGUACUUCGUUCUUUCCUCAAGUCUUUUUCGCUUCUGCUAGUGUUAUUCGCUUUUUUGGGUUAUAGACUUUCAAAUCUUUAUAUAUCGCAUUUAUUCUUGAUGAUAUAAACUGUGGGUGCCAAUUUUGCUGUGUAUAAUUUUGUCCUGGUAUUUCCUUGGUAUUUAUCCGGAGCCUGCAAUUCUGAAAGCGAGCUGUUGGUUACCAGUCAUUCAGGAUUUUGAAUCCUUUGGAAAGUUUGAGGAGUGAUUUACGAUAGUCUUCUAUGGUGACUCUGCAAAACCCAUUGUAUUGAAGGGAGAACUCAUCCUGUAGUUUUCUCAAGUUCUCCACACAAAGUUCCAGUGUUUACUGUAAUUGAUCACUAGAAGGUUCACAAACCUUCAAAUGCUGCAUGCUUGUUUAAUUUAAAUUGGGAAUUUGACCAUGUUAGCCUCCACCUCAAGCCAGUUUGAAUUAUAUUUAUUAUUUACUUCUGGAGCAAAUCAAAUCUUGAGAGCAAAGAUCAAACGAAAAAUGAUGCAUGUUUUCUUGAUUGGAAUUGCGUCUAUACAAUAAUACAAUAAUUGAGAAGUAGCAAAAGGUUUCAUCAAAAGGUCCAGCUCUGUACAAAAUA